AUCCAAUUGACGAGUCCCAAAUAGGACGAAGCGGUGCACGUCCUGGAU
rnacentral:hammerhead_ribozyme from 1 species